CGAGGCAGGUCAAGACCUUGUUUAAGCGCCAAUGACCUGCCUUGGGCGCAGGUGAUCGCCGGUUCAAAUCCGGCCGCCCCGACCA
rnacentral:tRNA from 1 species